rnacentral:rRNA from 1 species
AUGCCGUGCCACAGGCUCUCCAGCACCGAGUUCCACCCGCCGUGCGUCACGAAUCCCCCCACGGCCGGGUGCGCCAGGAUCUCCUUCUGCGGCGCCCACGUCGGCCACACCAGGCCCUUGCCCUCCGUCCUCCGCAAGAACCCCUCCGGGAGCAGCUCCCCCAGGUUCGCGUCCGUCGGGUGCUCCGACCCGUCCGGCGCGGAAGGCGGGCCGCGCAGGACCCACAGGAAGCGGUGGCCGCACCGCUCCAGCGCGGCGGUGAUCUCCACCACCUGGGCCGGCUCGAACCAGCCCAUGCUCCCGAAGCAGAGGAACACCACCGACGCCGGCGGCUGCGCGUCCAGCCAGGCGACGCACUGGUGCGGUGGCUCCGGGGAAUCCUUCUUGCUGGCGCUGCUGCCGAGCGAGAGCACGGAGCCGAUGGGGUACACCGGCGGCGCGGGGCGCCCUGCCACGGCGCGGCCGUCGGCGACGGCCGCGAGGGCCCCCGGCUCUAGCCCGUCCGCUGUGUUGGCGAUGAUCCCCGUGGCGUCCAUGAAGCUGUCGCCGAGGCGCACGAACCACGUGUAG